CCUACGGGCGGCAGCAGUAGGGAAUAUUGCUCAAUGGGGGAAACCCUGAAGCAGCAACGCCGCGUGGAGGAUGAAGGUUUUCGGAUUGUAAAAUCCUUUUGUUAGAGAAGAUAAUGACGGUAUCUAACGAAUAAGCACCGGCUAACUCCGUGCCAGCAGCCGCGGUAAUACGGAGGGUGCAAGCGUUACUCGGAAUCACUGGGCGUAAAGGGCGCGUAGGCGGGAUAGCAAGUCAGAUGUGAAAUCCUAUGGCUUAACCAUAGAACUGCAUUUGAAACUGUUAUUCUAGAGUAUGGGAGAGGUAGGUGGAAUUCGUGGUGUAGGGGUAAAAUCCGUAGAGAUCAAGAGGAAUACUCAUUGCGAAGGCGACCUGCUAGAACAUAACUGACGCUGAUGCGCGAAAGCGUGGGGAGCAAACAGGAUUAGAUACCCCUGUAGUC
rnacentral:rRNA from 1 species